rnacentral:rRNA from 1 species
UACGGAGGGUGCAAGCGUUAUCCGGAUUCACUGGGUUUAAAGGGUGCGUAGGUGGGUUGGUAAGUCAGUGGUGAAAUCCCCGAGCUUAACUUGGGAACUGCCAUUGAUACUAUCAGUCUUGAAUACCGUGGAGGUCAGCGGAAUAUGUCAUGUAGCGGUGAAAUGCUUAGAUAUGACAUAGAACACCAAUUGCGAAGGCAGCUGGCUACUCGGAUAUUGACACUGAGGCACGAAAGCGUGGGGAUCAAACAGGA